GUCGAACGCUGGCGGCGUGCCUAAUACAUGCAAGUAGCAGCUAGUUGCGAACGGGUGAGUAAUGGAUCUGUACGUGCCCAUUAGCGGGGGAUAACUAAGCGAAAGCGUAGCUACUACCGCAUCCUAUUGGAGCGGCCGAGCUCGGCCUAGUUCGUUGGGGGGGUAACGCCUCACCAAGGCGACGCUCCAGAGCUGGUGUGAGAGGACGACCAGCCACACGGGGACUGAGCCACGGCCCAGACUCCUACGGGAGGCAGCAGUGGGGAAUUUUGGACAAUGGGGGAAACCCUGAUCCAGCCAUCCCGCGUGUGCGAUGAAGGCCUUCGGGUUGUAAAGCACUUUUGGCGGGGAAGCGGUACCUGCAGAAUAAGCACCGGCUAACUACGUGCCAGCAGCCGCGGUAAUAC
rnacentral:rRNA from 1 species